rnacentral:tRNA from 1 species
CGGGCAGGUGGCGCGGGAGGGCGAGGGGUGGCAUGUGCCCGCCCGGGCACCGGGUCAUCACGUGGUGUCGGGGUUCGAGAUCGAGCCGCCCGACC